AUUGAACGCUGGCGGCAUGCCUUACACAUGCAAGUCGAACGGUAACAGGUCUUCGGAUGCUGACGAGUGGCGAACGGGUGAGUAAUACAUCGGAACGUGCCCGAUCGUGGGGGAUAACGAAGCGAAAGCUUUGCUAAUACCGCAUAAGAUCUAUGGAUGAAAGCAGGGGACCGCAAGGCCUUGCGCGAACGGAGCGGCCGAUGGCAGAUUAGGUAGUUGGUGGGAUAAAAGCUUACAAAGCCGACGAUCUGUAGCUGGUCUGAGAGGACGACCAGCCACACUGGGACUGAGACACGGCCCAGACUCCUACGGGAGGCAGCAGUGGGGAAUUUUGGACAAUGGGCGAAAGCCUGAUCCAGCCAUGCCGCGUGCAGGAUGAAGGCCUUCGGGUUGUAAACUGCUUUUGUACGGAACGAAAAGACUCUUUCUAAUAAAGAGGGUCCAUGACGGUACCGUAAGAAUAAGCACCGGCUAACUAUGUGCCAGCCGCCGCCGAA
rnacentral:rRNA from 1 species